rnacentral:rRNA from 1 species
GAUGAACGCUGGCGGCGUGCCUAAUACAUGCAAGUCGAGCGAACAGACGAGGAGCUUGCUCCUCUGACGUUAGCGGCGGACGGGUGAGUAACACGUGGAUAACCUACCUAUAAGACUGGGAUAACUUCGGGAAACCGGAGCUAAUACCGGAUAAUAUAUUGAACCGCAUGGUUCAAUAGUGAAAGACGGUUUUGCUGUCACUUAUAGAUGGAUCCGCGCCGCAUUAGCUAGUUGGUAAGAUAACGGCUUACCAAGGCAACGAUGCGUAGCCGACCCCAGAGUCAGCUCUGCCACCCUGGAACUGAGCCACGGUCCAGACUCCUACGGGAGGCAGCAGUAGGGAAGCUUCCGCAAUGUGCGAAAGCCUGACCGAGCCACGCCGCGCGAGUGACGAAGGUCUUCGGAUCGUCAAACUCUGUUACUUGGGAAGAACAAAUGUGUAAGUAACUAUGCACGUACUGACGGUACCUCCUCAGACAGCCACGGCUAACUACGUG